CUCCCACUCCCCUCGCCUGGCAUACAGCAGGUACGUCACUUCUGGGGCCCGCUGAAGCGGGAAGCACUGGGCAUGAGGCAGAGCCGAAAUUAGAGCUGAAAAGACUUAUCAGGUCAUCCCGUCCAGUCUGUGUGUCAAUGCAGGAUUGCUCUCUAUCAUGCAUAUGCUGCUACUGGAUUGAUGAGGUGGUUGUGGCUUAUGAGGAGAGGUGUCUGCAACUGUCUUUUCGUGUGCCUGUUUUGUUGCUCUCUCCAUAACAGUACAAUGAAGCAUGUAUUCAUUUGCAUAAAAGAAAAGGGUGAAAGCUUGAAUGCAUGGUUUCACACUGUCUAAUGGAAUUAAGCAGACCUUGGAAGGCAUUUUGCUGGAAAAUUUGAUGUAUUCAUUUGUAGUUCAACGCAAGAUAACAGGAACAAAAGCCUUGCUAAUUUAAUGAGUAGUGCCUUGGAGCCCCAGUCAUGGACCAGGAGCCAAUAGUGCCACAGAACCACAGAACAAAAAGACAGUCCCUGCUCCAAUGAUGUAUCUGAAAAUACCCAGUAAAUAUUACAAGCAUUAAAAUGGUGGUCUAUGGAUUAUCUAAUGUGCGUAGAGCUGG